CCCUUUGGGGUGUGACUGCGUACCUUUUGUAUAAUGGGUCAGCGACUUAUAUUCUGUAGCAAGGUUAACCGUAUAGGGGAGCCGGAGGGAAACCGAGUCUUAACCGGGCGUUAAGUUGCAGGGUAUAGACCCGAAACCCGGUGAUCUAGCCAUGGGCAGGUUGAAGGUUGGGUAACACUAACUGGAGGACCGAACCGACUAAUGUUGAAAAAUUAGCGGAUGACCUGUGGCUGGGGGUGAAAGGCCAAUCAAACCGGGAGAUAGCUGGUUCUCCCCGAAAGCUAUUUAGGUAGCGCCUCGUGAAUUCAUCUCCGGGGGUAGAGCACUGUUUCGGCUAGGGGGCCAUCCCGGCUUACCAACCCGAUGCAAACUGCGAAUACCGGAGAAUGUUAUCACGGGAGACACACGGCGGGUGCUAACGUCCGUCGUGAAGAGGGAAACAACCCAGACCGCCAGCUAAGGUCCCAAAGUCAUGGUUAAGUGGGAAACGAUGUGGGAAGGCCCAGACAGCCAGGAUGUUGGCUUAGAAGCAGCCAUCAUUUAAAGAAAGCGUAAUAGCUCACUGGUCGAGUCGGCCUGCGCGGAAGAUGUAACGGGGCUAAACCAUGCACCGAAGCUGCGGCAGCGAACGUAUCACUUAAAGCGAUUCAGCGGGUUACGAUUGACGGAGCGAAGCGACGUCAAAGCGUAUACAAAGUCGAGUCGGUUUAAGGAUACGUUCGUUGGGUAGGGGAGCGUUCUGUAAGCCUGUGAAGGUGGCCUGUGAGGGUUGCUGGAGGUAUCAGAAGUGCGAAUGCUGACAUAAGUAACGAUAAAGCGGGUGAAAAGCCCGCUCGCCGGAAGACCAAGGGUUCCUGUCCAACGUUAAUCGGG
rnacentral:rRNA from 1 species